GACGAACGCUGGCGGCGUGCCUAAUACAUGCAAGUUGAGCGCUGAAGGUUGGUACUUGUACCGACUGGAUGAGCAGCGAACGGGUGAGUAACGCGUGGGGAAUCUGCCUUUGAGCGGGGGACAACAUUUGGAAACGAAUGCUAAUACCGCAUAAAAACUUUAAACACAAGUUUUAAGUUUGAAAGAUGCAAUUGCAUCACUCAAAGAUGAUCCCGCGUUGUAUUAGUUAGUUGGUGAGGUAAAGGCUCACCAAGGCGAUGAUACAUAGCCGACCGGAGAGGGUGAUCGGCCACAGUGGGACUGAGACACGGCCCAAACUCCUACGGGAGGCAGCAGUAGGGAAUCUUCGGCAAUGGACGAAAGUAUGACCGAGCAACGCCGCGUGAGUGAAGAAGGUUUUCGGAUCGUAAAACUCUGUUGGUAGAGAAGAACGUUGGUGAGAGUGGAAAGCUCAUCAAGUGACGGUAACUACCCAGAAAGGGACGGCUAACUACGUGCCAGCCGCCGCAGUAA
rnacentral:rRNA from 1 species